rnacentral:rRNA from 1 species
AGACCCGAAACCCGGUGAUCUAGCCAUGGGCAGGUUGAAGGUUGGGUAACACUAACUGGAGGACCGAACCGACUAAUGUUGAAAAAUUAGCGGAUGACCUGUGGCUGGGGGUGAAAGGCCAAUCAAACCGGGAGAUAGCUGGUUCUCCCCGAAAGCUAUUUAGGUAGCGCCUCGUGAAUUCAUCUCCGGGGGUAGAGCACUGUUUCGGCUAGGGGGCCAUCCCGGCUUACCAACCCGAUGCAAACUGCGAAUACCGGAGAAUGUUAUCACGGGAGACACACGGCGGGUGCUAACGUCCGUCGUGAAGAGGGAAACAACCCAGACCGCCAGCUAAGGUCCCAAAGUCAUGGUUAAGUGGGAAACGAUGUGGGAAGGCCCAGACAGCCAGGAUGUUGGCUUAGAAGCAGCCAUCAUUUAAAGAAAGCGUAAUAGCUCACUGGUCGAGUCGGCCUGCGCGGAAGAUGUAACGGGGCUAAACCAUGCACCGAAGCUGCGGCAGCGACACUGUGUGUUGUUGGGUAGGGGAGCGUUCUGUAAGCCUGUGAAGGUGUGUCGUGAGGCAUGCUGGAGGUAUCAGAAGUGCGAAUGCUGACAUAAGUAACGAUAAAGCGGGUGAAAAGCCCGCUCGCCGGAAGACCAAGGGUUCCUGUCCAACGUUAAUCGGGGCAGGGUGAGUCGACCCCUAAGGCGAGGCCGAAAGGCGUAGUCGAUGGGAAACGGGUUAAUAUUCCCGUACUUGGUGUUACUGCGAAGGGGGGACGGAGAAGGCUAUGUUGGCCGGGCGACGGUUGUCCCGGUUUAAGCGUGUAGGUGUGUGUUCCAGGUAAAUCCGGUCCACUUUAACACUGAGGCGUGAUGACGAGGCACUACGGUGCUGAAGCAACAAAUGCCCUGCUUCCAGGAAAAGCCUCUAAGCAUCAGGUAACAUCAAAUCGUACCCCAAACCGACACAGGUGGUCAGGUAGAGAAUACCAAGGCGCUUGAGAGAACUCGGGUGAAGGAACUAGGCAAAAUGGUGCCGUAACU